AAACAAUAGAAAACUUGAAUACAUUAAGCACUGAAGCUUGAGCAAAGCACAAAUAUAUUCUUUCACAAUGUGUUGGACAUGGGUGAUGCGGUAUGAAAGUGAGACAAAUAAAAGGGGUUACACGACUACUCUCAAUAGGAAGAAUCAAAGGUGAUUCACAAUCAAUCCUAAAAGAAAAUCAGGAUUCAAACUAGAACCCACAUUUGAUUCUACAAGAAGCACACACCUACGAUGCACCUCAAGGCAUAAAUGAUGAGCACCACAGGGGAAGUAGAUCAUCCCCUAGAAACGAUGAAACCAGAGCAAAACAUACAAAACGAUCCAGGUCCAGAUCAGCUGAGGUUAACCAUAACUUUGGUGAUAGGAUGGAUGAAAGUAGAGAAGAAAACUCCAAGCACAAGGAGCGGAGGAGGUCCAGGUCCUCCUCCAUUGAGGGCAAGACUCGAGAAGAGAAGUCCAAGCACAAGGAGCGGAGACGGUCCAGGUCCUCGUCCACUGAGGACAAGAUUCGGAAACGAAGUAGAUCGUCACCAAGAGUUUCAGGUGAAACCAAAUCAAAAUAUAAAAGGCGGUCCAGGUCUAGAUCUCUUGAAAAAAGACGUCACGUUGGUAGUAAAGUAGACAAAAACAGCGAAGAGAAGUCCAAGCAACACGAAAGAAGGCGGUCCCGGUCAAGGUCUACUGAAGGUAAACGGCACAAAAGUAGUGGGAUGUAGCCUAGAAGGACUGAUGAACGGAAAACAAAACAUAGCAAGCGCUCAAGGUCAAGGUCAACGGAACACAAGUAUCACUCGAGUGACAAUGGUCUACAGGAAAGUAAGCAUGAGAAUGUGAAACAUCUGAAGGAAAGACCCACCGAAUCAGAUGAUUCCUCCAUGGAACUUGGUCCUAUGGACUUAAAUGAUUCAGAAAAUGAUGAUGGCCAUAUGGAAAUCAAUAAAAGGGAUGAGCGUGACUAUGAUAGAACCGAGGCUACUCUGACAGAACUAAACCUUACCAAAGAAACGUGAACUAGUUUGAAAUGCUGUCACCAAAGGCAAUGGUAUUUAUUUAGUGUAAUGAAGGAUUGCUAAUGCAUCAAAAGCAACCUGUACUUUGAAGUAACUCGGUUUGAAGUUUAGGCUUGUGUGGAAAGGGCUGUGAAAAGAGGAAGAUCUGGGUUUCUCUUGGAAGAUGCCUCAAUUUCUUUUCUGCUCCCAAAUAUUAGGAUGAUAUGUGGCUCUCUUGUGAUAAUUACUUCUUUUUUUUUUUCCUUCCUUCUCCCGAUUGCAGGUUGUUGAUGGAGUGGAGUUGCUGUAUUCUGAAGCUAUCUUGCUAUCAUAUUUCAGGAAGUCCUGUGCCUAUUUAAAUCAACUGAGCUAUAAUUUACGGAACUACUGUAUGAGCUUGAUCUAAGCUGAUCUCUUACCUUUAUCAGUAGGUCCUCAAGCUGGUAUCAAGUGGUGCUUUACUGAUCAAUUUGGCAAGAUUGUGUUAUCUGGUUGUAUAUGAAGGUAUGCAAUCAUGGAUUCUGGUGGUCUAGUGGCAGGAGCUUUUGCUGUUAAUUUUGACUGAUACAUUGAAUUGUUCACUGAUUUUUGUUGGUCCAAUUUUGAUUGAAGAUGAAGUUUGUUUCUGUACUUGAUACUUUGUAAUGCUCCUUUCCUCAUGUUUCUUUUGUCUUUUCCUUUUUUUUUUGGUUUUUUUUUUGGGGGGGAAGAGGGGAGGUUGGGUUUCCCCCUUCCCUUUUCUCUCUUCUUUCCUUCUUCCCUGUUUCUUCUCUAUAUUCCUUGGAAUGCUUGAUUAGGUAAUUUAUCAUUGACUCGAAAAGGAGGUUGCUGAGAUGGUUAGCAACAUAGCUUCCAGCUUUUCUCCCUGUGAAGUGAUCACAUUGGCCAACUUAAAGGGGCUGAGUUUCAUGGUGAAACUCUAUGUGCGCAGGUAAUUAGUUGUCUUAGACUGUUAUCCAAUAUUGUCUUCCUUGGAGGGAAAUGAAGUUAGCAACCCUACGGCACGGAGAUUACUCUUACUAAAGAUACCUAUCACUAGACAAGUAGUCUAACCCUCAGAGCAGCAGAUAGCUUGUUUGGUACAUGAACCAUCUAGUUUAAUGAUGGGUAUAUUAACAUUAGUUUCAUGUUGCUGAUGUUUAAUUUUGGAGUACAUUGAUGAUCAUUGCUCGAUCUGUCUAUAUGCGGUCUGUGUGUACGUGUACGGAUGGGGAAAAUGGUGAUUAAGCUGAAGCUCGUGAGCCAGUUGGCUGAAGUUCAGAUCACCUUACACUCUUUUAUCAUCAAUAUGGAACAAACCUAAUGUCUCAAUGGCAUAUGCUAUUAAUGUCACAAC